AAGACUAUAGACCUGCGGAGUACCUGCGGAAGGAUCAUUACCGAGUUAUACAACUCCCAAACCCACUGUGAACCUUACCUCAGUUGCCUCGGCGGGAACGCCCCGGCCGCCUGCCCCCGCGCCGGCGCCGGACCCAGGCGCCCGCCGCAGGGACCCCAAACUCUCUUGCAUUACGCCCAGCGGGCGGAAUUUCUCCUCUGAGUUGCACAAGCAAAAACAAAUGAAUCAAAACUUUCAACA
rnacentral:misc_RNA from 1 species